UAGCUGGUCUGAGAGGAUGAUCAGCACACUGGAACUGACACACGGUCCAGACUCCUACGGGAGGCAGCAGUGAGGAAUUUUGCGCAAUGGGGGAAACCCUGACGCAGCAACGCCGCGUGAGUGAUGAAGGCUUUCGGGUCGUAAAGCUCUGUCAAGUGGGAAGAAACCACGAGGUGAUAAUAUCGCUUUGUGCUGACGGUACCACUGAAGGAAGCACCGGCUAACUCCGUGCCAGCAGCCGCGGUAAUACGGGGGGUGCAAGCGUUAUUCGGAAUCAUUGGGCGUAAAGGGCGCGUAGGCGGUUUGUUAAGUCAGAUGUGAAAGCCCGGGGCUCAACCCCGGAAGUGCAUUUGAUACUGGCGGACUUGAGUAUGGGAGAGGGAAGUGGAAUUCCUGGUGUAGAGGUGAAAUUCGUAGAUAUCAGGAGGAACACCGGUGGCGAAGGCGACUUCCUGGACCAAUACUGACGCUGAGGCGCGAAGGCGUGGGUAGCAAACAGGAUUAGAUACCCUGGUAGUCCACGCAGUAAACGGUGAUCACUAGGUGUAGCGGGUAUUGACCCCUGCUGUGCCGCAGUUAACGCAUUAAGUGAUCCGCCUGGGGAGUACGGCCGCAAGGUUAAAACUCAAAGGAAUUGACGGGGGCCCGCACAAGCGGUGGAGCAUGUGGUUUAAUUCGACGCAACGCGAAGAACCUUACCUGGGUUUGACAUCUCGGGGAUUUUUUUGGAAACAAGAAAGUGCCCUUCGGGGAGCCCGAAGACAGGUGCUGCAUGGCUGUCGUCAGCUCGUGUCGUGAGAUGUUGGGUUAAGUCCCGCAACGAGCGCAACCCUUAUCUUUAGUUACCAUCACUUCGGGUGGGGACUCUAAAGAUACUGCCCCGGCCAACGGGGAGGAGGGUGGGGAUGACGUCAAGUCCUCAUGGCCUUUAUGCCCAGGGCUACACACGUGCUACAAUGGGCGAUACAAAGGGUAGCGAGCCUGCGAAGGUGAGCCAAUCCCAAAAAGUCGUUCUUAGUUCGGAUUGGAGUCUGCAACUCGACUCCAUGAAGCUGGAAUCGCUAGUAAUCGCGGAUCAGCACGCCGCGGUGAAUACGUUCCCGGGCCUUGUACACACCGCCCGUCACACCAUGAGAGUUGGUUGUACCAGAAGUUGUUGGGCUAACCCGCAAGGGAGGCAGGCACCUAAGGUAUGGCUGAUGAUUGGGGUGAAGUCGUAACAAGGUA
rnacentral:rRNA from 1 species